rnacentral:ncRNA from 2 species
GGAGGCGGCCGCGACUGGCGAGGGUGGGAACGACCACCGGGGAGCGUCCGAUCGACCUGUUGGUGCGUCGUCCGCCUGGGCGCCUGGG